rnacentral:rRNA from 1 species
UAGGGAAUCUUCCGCAAUGGGCGAAAGCCUGACGGAGCAACGCCGCGUGAGUGAUGAAGGUCUUCGGAUCGUAAAACUCUGUUAUUAGGGAAGAACAAAUGUGUAAGUAACUAUGCACGUCUUGACGGUACCUAAUCAGAAAGCCACGGCUAACUACGUGCCAGCAGCCGCGGUAAUACGUAGGUGGCAAGCGUUAUCCGGAAUUAUUGGGCGUAAAGCGCGCGUAGGCGGUUUUUUAAGUCUGAUGUGAAAGGCCACGGCUCAACCGUGGAGGGUCAUUGGAAACUGGAAAACUUGAGUGCAGAAGAGGAAAGUGGAAUUCCAUGUGUAGCGGUGAAAUGCGCAGAGAUAUGGAGGAACACCAGUGGCGAAGGCGACUUUCUGGUCUGUAACUGACGCUGAUGUGCGAAAGCGUGGGGAUCAAACAGG